CCUACGGGAGGCAGCAGUGAGGAAUAUUGGUCAAUGGCCGGAAGGCUGAACCAGCCAUGCCGCGUGAAGGUCAGUGCCCUAUGGGCGUUAAACUUCUUUUGUGCGGGAGCAAUAAUGGUCACGUGUGGCCAGACGAGAGUACCGUACGAAUAAGCAUCGGCUAACUCCGUGCCAGCAGCCGCGGUAAUACGGGGGAUGCAAGCGUUAUCCGGAUUUAUUGGGUGUAAAGGGUGCGUAGGCUGUGAGGUAAGUCAGCGGUGAAAUGCCCCCGCUCAACGGGGUGAAGUGCCAUUGAUACUGGCUGGCUGGAAUGCGGAUGCAGUGGGAGGAAUGUGUGGUGUAGCGGUGAAAUGCAUAGAUAUCACACAGAACACCGAUUGCGAAGGCAUCUCACGAAUCCGCGAUUGACGCUGAUGCACGAAAGCGUGGGUAUCAAACAGGAUUAGAUACCCGUGUAGUC
rnacentral:rRNA from 1 species